UGCCAGACUCCUACGGGAGGCAGCAGUGGGGGAUAUUGCACAAUGGGGGAAACCCUGAUGCAGCGACGCCGCGUGUAGGAAGACGGUCCUCUGGAUUGUAAACUACUGUCCCCAGGGACGAAGAUGACGGUACCUGGGGAGGAAGCUCCGGCUAACUACGUGCCAGCAGCCGCGGUAAUAUGUAGGGAGCGAGCGUUGUCCGGAAUUACUGGGUGUAAAGGGAGCGUAGGCGGGGAUGCAAGUUGGGUGUUAAAUCUACCGGCUCAACUGGUAGUCGCACUCAAAACUGCAGCUCUUGAGUGAAGUAGAGGCAGGCGGAAUUCCUAGUGUAGCGGUGAAAUGCGUAGAUAUUAGGAGGAACACCAGUGGCGAAGGCGGCCUGCUGGGCUUUUACUGACGCUGAGGCACGAAGGCCAGGGGAGCGAAAGGGAUUAGAUACCCGGGUAG
rnacentral:rRNA from 1 species